GGGUAUGAUCAUACCAGCGCUAAUGCACGGGAUCCCAUCAGAACUCCACUGUUAAGCGUGCUUGGGCGAAAUUAGUACUUGGUUUGGUGACCUCCAGGGAAGUCCUCGUGUUGCAACCC
rnacentral:rRNA from 1 species